rnacentral:rRNA from 1 species
GACGAACCGAGCGACCGUUAUUCGGAAUCACUGGGCUUAAAGGGCGCGUAGGCGGGCGGUCAAGUCAGGGGUGAAAGCCCCCAGCUCAACUGGGGAAGUGCCUUUGAUACUGGUCGUCUCGAGGGGGAUAGGGGCGUGCGGAACUUCCGGUGGAGCGGUGAAAUGCGUAGAUAUCGGAAGGAACACCGGUGGCGAAAGCGGCGCGCUGGAUCCCUUCUGACGCUGAGGCGCGAAAGCCAGGGGAGCGAACGGG